ACAGAUGUUUGAAGUUGUUCAAGUGACACAUGGGCAUCAGUUGACAUGGAUGCAAGGUGUGUGAUGAUAGCGUGCGGGCAUUGGUUGGCAUUGAUGCAAGGUAUGCGGUUAUCUCGAUGGCUGAUGAACUUCCGGAGAAAGCCAACAUGGAAGUUGCACCAUAAAUUUUCAGCGAGGUUUCGAGAUGAAAUUCUUGGGAUGACUUGGUUCCAAGUGAAGAAAAAUCUUGGGAUGGUUUAGUUCCAAGU
rnacentral:lncRNA from 1 species